CUGCAAUUAUUGAGCAAGUCAUGGCAAUGCUGUCUGUGAUGAUGAAGCACUUGAAAAAAUUAUUUGAUUGCAGAAGAGCCUGCCCUUGGUCCGGGCCUACAUCAUUGUUGUAUCCUCCAGGCAUUGUAAAGGCUGCUGCAAAUGUCACAGUUGUGAUAAGUGUUGCAACCAUUAAAAGGGUCUGGCCCAUUUGCUUGUAAGUUUGCAUUGCAAUGGCUUCUUCUUGGUCUGCUCUUGAAAAAACCUUGAUGUUGUCCAACCAAGAAGGCGGUGUCCGGAGAUGUCCCCAAAUGCUUGGCAUUAUAUUCUGCAAUUAAAUUCAUUUAAGAGAAACAAGGUCUAUAAGAAUGGCAGUUUGUAGUUUGUUAAGCAUUAAGACCAAUUUUAUACAAGGGAUAUUAAUUAUGUACUUAGUACUCACCCUGGGAGGUGUAAUAUUAGCUUCCUUGAUUGAACUAUCAACCUCAAUUGCUGUUUGGCCAUAUUUGUUCUUGGAUCUUGGAUUUACUCUUCCAUCCCACUUCAAGUAACACAAAAUCCAAGUUUUUCUUUCAAUGGUGGAUAGAUGGAAAGGCGUAUUUCCAUCAAAAUCAGGCUGGUUUAUGAGCCCCUCCAGCUCUGCAGUUUCUAGUAUAUACCUGACAACUUCUGUUUGCCCAUUGAAGAUUGCAAUAUGAAGAGCAUUCCGUCCAUAAGGGUCGACAAGUUCUCCCGAAUCAGGGCAAUGUCCAACAAUCUCUCUAAUCACAUUGGUAUAACCUUUGCUGGCUGCAACAUGAAUUGGUGAAUAACCCUGUUUAUUCAAAACAUACGCAAUCGAAAUAUCGAGUUCUAGUAAUCGUUGAACUGUUUUAUGGCCUCCCAGGGAUGCUGCAUAGUAGAGAGGAGUCUUGCCUUGGUGGUCAGCUUGUAUGAUCAGCUGCUGUUUGAACCUUAGGAGGGAUUCCAUGACAUCUUAUAAUCAUACACAAAAAUUUAGCUUAGAUUAGAAAAAUUUACAGAAGACUAUUACUGAUUAGAGGAGCAACAUCUGUAUGGAAUGGAUACUACUAUUUUUAUUUAUGCAAAAUUCAACUGCCAGAGGUGUCAAUAGUGAAAGUCCCACUUAGGAUUUGCAAGUUAAUUGAGAUAAUGGUAGCAUAUAUUACUGGGCCAAAGUAUGACAUACCAAAAUGCCUCUCAACCACAGCAGCAUGCAGAGCUGUUUGGCCAUCUGAACCACCAUGAGCUGAUGAAGGGCUUGACUGUAAAAUUUGAUUCAGAAUAUCUAACAAUCCCUCUCUUGCAGCCAGGUAUAAUGGAGACUCACCUGCCUCAUUUUCAAAACAAGCCAAUUUGGGGUCCAUCUUAAGUAAGAACUCAGCCACUUUGGUGUGACCAUUCCUCACAGCUUCGUGUAAAACCGUGUUGUUUCCCCUAUUUCUGAUUCUCAGAGUCUCAGUCAUGCUGUUGUUGGCGUUCCCGAAAUCUGCUUGUGACAUGGACAAGGUUUCUCUGACCAGAUAAUUGACAAUCGAGAAGCAGCCAACCCUUGCAGCCACAUGUAAAGGAGUAUCUCCAUCUAAAUUUGGUCGUGAGACGAGGGACAUGCAUCUGCUAUAAAUCUCAGCUGUAACAUUUUUGUGUCCAAAUUGCACAGCGAUAUGGAGGGCAGUGUUUUCUCGGGGCGUAAGUUGAUAUAGUAGUGUGGGAUCAUCGUUAAGAAGUUGUUUAAGGAAGCAAACAUCCCCUGAUUUUGCAGAUUUGUAGAGCCUUGGAUCCAUGGAAUUUUUGGAACUAGGCAGUACAUACUUGUGGGGUUGCUUUAUAUAGCCUUGUUAUUGUAGGUAGUUUUGACAGAGCAUUUACCUUGGUACUUGAAAAAAAAAAAUCCAAAUUCAUCCCAUCUGAACCAAGAUUUUUGUGCACUGACCUCUAAAUUGCCGUGGUCUAUUUUGGUUCACGUGGAGGAAUUGAACCCACCUCAAGUUUAAUUCAGUUGACUAUAUAUUUAGACUAAACCAACCGCCACCAAGAGUGAACAUUCCAACCCAUUUUUCAAAAUCGAAACUUGACAGGAAAAGCUUCAAUAAGUUUGUGAUUAUGACAGUCACGUCUGCUUCAUACAGUUGUCUGCUAUGGCUGAUUUCAAGUCCUUCAACCCAGGUCAUUGUAAAACUAAGAAACGGCUCGUAACUUCUAACGCGUAUGUGGGAGCCAUGAAAGAAAAGAAAAUACAAAAUGAGCUUAAAUAAAUUUAUUAGUUUAAUUAUAACUAUCUGAUGAUGUAAUGAUGCAAACUGAUUUUUAAGCAACCACAACGGUUUUGAAGCAAUAAAGACGACGGAAAUUUCCCCUCGUCUUUUUGUAUUUUUGUAGUAGUGAUCCAGUAGAAGUGGAAAGGAAUUGCUGUAAAGUCAGAGCCCUGCAUCAUUUUAUGCGGUGUGAGAAGCAUGUAAUGUAUGUAUUAACAUUGGCUGAUGAAGUGGGUUAAUUUGCACCUUCUCUAAGUCUACAGACAACAAGUCCUCUAACCAAGCUUAGAACUUCAUAAACAAGAACAUUGAUUUAGAAGUAAACCCCCACAGAAAAUAAUUCAGAGAAUGAAAAAAGAAAGAAAUUGAAACUCUCCAUAUGCAGACUUUUCCCUUUGUGUUAGACUUCAGUACGCAGAUCUUUCCUCCUUUGUUGUUUCUGUUCCUUGACUGUUCUGUUCUUCUAAUUCCGUCACAUCAGUUGUGAACUUGCGACACUAGCUUCCCCAUGAUCUGCGUUAAACGAAUACCCAAAAGGCUAUUAAAACGUGGCCUCCACUUGUGCAAAUGGUUGAAAUUGAAACUUCAAAUGAAUCAAAGAGAGAACUGGGGCUCGGUUCACUUGAGAAACAAAGCUAAAGUCUUCUUGCGUUGAGUUUCAAAGGGAAAAUGGGCAGAGGCAAACUUACGUGGUGUGUUGAUUAAAAGAGCCAAUAAAGAUUUCAUAUAUGCAUAUAGCUGAGAUUUGAGGGAAACCAUAAUAGGGCUCAUUAUGGAUUAUAUUUUAAUUAUCUGAACCGUUAGAUUUUAGAUAUUCUCUACAAAAAUUAUCUCUGAUAUAUAUAUAUAUAUGUCACACCCCGGACCGGCUCCGCCGUAGCACGAUAUUGUCCGCUUUGGGCCCUCCUCUCACUGCCCGCACGGUUUUGUUUCUGGGAGCUCACGAAGCAACUUCCCAGGGUGGUCACCCAUCCUGGGAUUGCUCCAGCCUCCCACUCGCUUAACUUCGGAGUUCUUACAACUCCGAAGCCAGUGAGCUCCCAAAAGGCCUCGUGAAAGUUGGAGGUGGGCCCCAUCCACACUAGCACAAUAUUGUCCGCUCUGGGCCUGGACGGCGCCAGCCCGCACGGUUUUGUUCCUGGGCCUGCCUACAUUCUCAGCAGCGCCCAGAAGGCCUCGUGCUAGAUGGAUGCGGGUGUGCCAUAUAAGGCACAUCACCCCCCUCUCCGUUGGUUUGAUGUGGGAUCUUACAAUCCACCCCCCUUAAGGGUCCGACGUCCUCGUCGGCACACUUGCACCACACGGCAGAGUGGCUCUGAUACCAAAUUGUCACACCCCGGACCGGCUCCGCCGUAGCACGAUAUUGUCCGCUUUGGGCCCUCCUCUCACUGCCCGCACGGUUUUGUUUCUGGGAGCUCACGAAGCAACUUCCCAGGGUGGUCACCCAUCCUGGGAUUGCUCCAGCCUCCCACUCGCUUAACUUCGGAGUUCUUACAACUCCGAAGCCAGUGAGCUCCCAAAAGGCCUCGUGAAAGUUGGAGGUGGGCCUCAUCCACACUAGCACAAUAUUGUCCGCUCUGGGCCUGGACGGCGCCAGCCCGCACGGUUUUGUUCCUGGGCCUGCCUACAUUCUCAGCAGCGCCCAGAAGGCCUCGUGCUAGAUGGAUGCGGGUGUGCCAUAUAAGGCACAUCACCCCCCUCUCCGUUGGUUUGAUGUGGGAUCUUACAAUAUAUUAGGCAAAAAGUCAUUUUUAGUUCCUGUAGUUUGCCACUUUUACCAUUGGUCAUUGUCGUUUCAAUUUGGUCACUUUUGUCCCUGUAGUUUUCAAUUUGAGCAAUUUAAGGACAAUCCUCAAUUUCUAUUCACUUUUUUAACUUCCGUUAUUUGUGGAGGGGCAAUCCGGUCCACAAAUUAUUAAAAAUUCAUUCCUUCUAAAAAUUUAGUUUAAUAUAAAAGUAAUAUUUUAAACACAAAAAAAUAAUUUAAUUUCCCCACCCCUUAUCGGUUGAAACCCAAGCCCAUUGAAAAGCAAAAGUUUUUGAACCUAUGGUUCUAAGUAGGGGUGGGCAUCGGAACCGAAAAAUCGGAACACCAAACCAUACCGGAUGGAAAAAUUGAGAGAAAAAUUGGUUGAUUAAAAAAGUCAACAAACCAGCAUCGAACUAGACCAGACCAAUUCUAAUAGAUUCCAAUUUCAGUUUCACACCGCACUAAACUGAACCGAAUUGGACCGGACCAGUUGUUUAUAAUUUUUUUUUUUAACAAAAUUAUUUAACUAUAAUGCUACAUUUUUAAUCUCAUAACUAAUAUUUCCCCAAGCCCAACUUCAAAACAUCUCUCUUUUUAGGCCCAAUAUCUCUCUUUGUAUGAAAUUGGAUCAUUUGUUAAUUUUCAAGCCCAAAAAAUAAAAUUUUAGUUUGAAUUUGUAUAAAAAAAGAGUUUAAAAAAUUAAUAAUAAUAAUUCGAUCCAAAACUUGAAAAAACAUAAAGCAAACAAGAACCGAUUCAAACUGGACCGCUGGUUUUAAAAAAAAAUUUCACUAAAACCAAACCGAACUUGACCGGUUAAAUAGUACCCAUUCCGAUUUCGAUUGGAGGUGAACACCUUACCCAACCGGACCACACCCAACCCUAGUUAUAAGCCUUGAAUGCAUUGUGCCAGGAGAAGCUUAUGUGCUAGGCCGCAAUGUCUUCCCAAUCUUCUUCAGUUACCACUCUCCCUCUCCCGAAAUCCCUUAUUCUUCUUUUCUCAGCCAAAUCUCUCUCCCUCAAUUCAAUUUGGCAUUCCCUUUCAGACUCAACCCCACCUCCUCCCAUCUUUGCACAUGAGACUGCGUUUCUCAAUUCCAGAUCCAAGAUCAGCUCCACUUCUUCUGGUACUUCAAUAUGAACUAUGAUCAAAACAUUGUCUUGAGAUGCUUUUGGAUUUGAAUAUAUUAUGCAAGUAAUUGAAUUGAGAGGUGUAGUCUGAUGGUGAUCAUGGUGUCACAUGCAGGUCACGUGAACAAACAAGCACAAGAGCAUGGGGUUUGGCCGUUUUGGGUGGCUGGGGUGGUGGUUGGGUUAGAGGGAGGUGGUGGCUGGUGGGGCUUGGGUGGGGUUGUUGGUAGGGGUUAGGUUGGGGUUGGGAGGAGAAGGAGAAAAUUUGAGGAUUGUCCUUGAAUUGCUCAAAUUGAAAACCACAAGGACAAAAGUGACCAAAUUGAAAUAACAAGGACCAAAAUGAUAAAAGUGCCAAACUACAAGAAUCAAAAGUGUAUUUUUGCCUAUAUUUAAUACUUGAAAUACAAUUUCAUAAUUUUCAUCUUGGAUUAAAGUUCUUUUAUUUCGUUUGAUUUAGUGAGUGCAUUCAAUCCAAACUUAUAAAAACUUUUGUGUACUUUUUUUAAGUGGCUAACUUCCAUAGACUUUCUAGAGUUUUAAUGACCUUAAUCUCAAUGACAUACUUUCAUAGAAUUUUAUGGACUUUCAUAAAGUGUAUCAUACAAUUUAAUAGACUUUUGUUAUUCUUGAAUUUCAAUUCAUUACAAACCUUGAUAGUGUGUAUGUGAGAGAACCCCCUUCCCUUUUCUUAAAGGAUCGGAUUUGAACUAGGAGUGGCAAUUUCUGUUGUGAAGGGGGAGAGGGAGGAAACCCUAGGUUAGGCUGAUACCAUGUAGAAAAUAUAUUUCCUUGUAUUAAACAGAUUACACAAAGUCCCUAUUUAUACUGAUACAUGAUAUCUACUUAAGGUAGGAAAUAAUAUAGACAUGAAUACAAUCUGAUUGCACCUGCAUCUGCAUCAUUUUAUGCAACUACUACUAUUGCUUCUUGGACUCUCAUGUAUGAGAUGACUCAUUGCUAUAGCUUACAUGCAUUGCAUAAGUUGGCAGAUCUUAUCUCAACCUUGGCAUCAGUAAUAUUGAAAUACAAAACUUUAUACAUCAAAAGUGUAUAAUAUUGUGACAAAUUGUAAUCUGUAAACUUUUAAACAUCAAACUUGUUCAUUAGAUAUGUGAUAGAUGUGCUGAAGGGGUAAAAGGAGUUGAACUAUAAAGUAGUGCAAAAUGCACUUAUUCUUCAUGGUUUGUUCUUGAUUUUGCACUUGAGCUUACAAAGAUGAGAAAUGAAGAAUCUGCAGGCUUCAGGUAGGGAAAACAUUUUCACCAACUGGGAAAGAGCCAAGAAGGUAAUAACAUGAAAAGCCGCUCCGACUAGGGUUCCCAAGGUUUUGAGACAUUGCUGAUCAGGCAUGGCAGCCUUAAUCCCUGUUUCGAAUGCUAUUGCGGUGGAUUGCAGAGCAAUAUAUGUAAGAGCAGCAGCACUUGUGAAAUAGUAAACAUAGGAGGACUUGUUGCUGUUGACAGCUCCCCAAAACAGAAGGCAAGCUGCAAUUAUUGAGCAAGUCAUGGCAACAGUGUCUGUGAUGAUGAACCACUUGAAAUCAUUAUUUGACUGCAGAAGAGCCUGCCCUCGGUCUGGGCCUACAUCAUUGUUAUACCCCCCAGGCAUUGUGAAGGCAGCUGCAAAUGUUACAGUUGUGAUAAGUGUUGCAACCAUCAACAGGGUCUGCCCCAUUUGCAUGUAAGUUUGCACUGCAUUGGCUUCUUCUUGUUCUGCUCUUGGGGAUAUCUUGAUGUUGCCCAACCAUGAAUGUUGGGUACCGAGAUGUCCCCAAAUGCUUGGAGUUAUGUUCUGCAAUUCCUAUUAGAUGAACAGUUGUAGUUUGCUAAGCAUUAUGACCAAUUAUAUACAAGGAAUAUUAAUUGUGUUAUUAGCACUCACCCUGGGAGAUGUAAUACUAGAUUCUUUGAUUGACCUAUCAAUCUCAAUUGCUGUUUGGCCAAAUUUGUUCUUGGAUCUUAAAUUUACUCUUCCAUCCCACCUCAAGUAUCUCAGAAUCCAAGUUUUUCUUUCAAUGGUGGCUAGAUGCAAAGGCGUAUUUCCAUCAAAAUCAGGCUGGUUUAUGGUCCCCUCCAGCUCUGCUGUUUCUAGUAUAUAUCUGACAACGUUUGCUUGCCCAUUGAAGAUUGCAAUAUGAAGGGCAUUCCAUCCGUAAGGAUCAACAAGUUCUCCCGAAUCUGGGCAAUGUCGAACAAUCUCUCUAAUCACACUGGUAUGACCUUUGCUGGCUGCAACAUGAAUUGGUGAGAAACCCUGUUUAUCCAAAACAUAUGCUAUCGAAAUAUCGAGUUCUAGUAAUCGUUCUACUGUUCUAUGGUCUCCAAGGGAUGCUGCAUAGUAAAGAGGAGUCUUUCCUUGGUGGUCAGCUUCUUUGAUCAGCUGCUGUUUGAAUCUUAGGAGCGCUUCCAUGAUAUCUUACAAUCAGACAAAAGUUUAGUUUAAAUAUUGAUUAAAAAAAUUGCACAAGUCAGGAAAAAAUAUAAAUUAAAGAGGAACUAGCUAGAAUCUUUUUUUUUUUUAGAAGAGCAACAUCUGUAUGGAAUGGAUACUACUAUAUUAUUUAUGCAAAUUCAACUAUCUGUAGCGUAACCCCCAUAAAGAAUUUGCAAGGAAAUUGAUAUAAUAGUAGUUGCUGAGUGCAAGUGCAUAUUUAAACCAUAGCUCAAACAUACAUAACUGGGGAAAAGUGUGACAUACCAAAAUGCUUCUCAACCACAGCAGCAUGCAGAGCUGUUUGGCCAUCUGAACCGCCAUGAGCUGAUGAAGGACUUGAUUGUAAAAUUUGAUUCAGAAUAUCUAACAAUCCCUCUCUUGCAGCCAGGUACAAUGGAGACUCACCCGCCUCAUUUUCAAAAGAAGCCAAUUUGGGGUCAAUCUUAAGUAAAAACUCAGCCACCUUGUUGUGACCAUUCCUCAGAGCUUCGUGUAAAACCGUGUUGUUCCCCCUAUUUCUGACUCUCAAAGUCUCAAGCAUCUUGCUGCUCACGUUCCCAAACUCUACUUGUGACAUGGACAAGGUUUCUCUGACCAGAUAAUUGACAAUCGAGAAGCGGCCAACCCUUGCAGCCACAUGUAAAGGGGUAUCUCCAUCUAAAUUUGGCUGUGUGAGAAGGGACCUGCACCUGCUAUAAAUCUCAGCUGUAACAUUUUUGUGUCCAAAUUGCACGGCGAUAUGGAGGGCGGUGUUUCGUCGGGGCGUAAGUUGAUAUAGUAGCAUGGGAUCAUCGUUAAGAAGUUGUUUAAAGAAGCAAACAUCCCCUGAUUCUGCAGAUUUGUAGAGCCUUGGAUCCAUGGCAUUUUUGGAACUAGGCAGGCAUUAUAUAAUUGUUGGGGUUGCUUUAUAUAUGGCCUUGUUAUUGUAGGUAGCAAGUGUGGAAAUUUUGACAGAGCAUUUACCUUGGCACCUUGGAAACAAAAAAAAAUAAAAAAUCCAAAUUCAUCUAAAUCGGAACAACCAAUAUUUUUGUGCACUGACCUCUAAAUUGUUGUGGACUAUUUUUGUUCAUGUGCAGGAAUUGAAUCUGCCUCAAGUUCAACUCAGUUGAAUUUAUUUUUAGACUAUACCAGAAGCCUCCAAGUUUGAACAUUACAACCCCAUUUUUUGAAAUUGUAAUUAAGUUGACAAUCAUGUCUGCUUCGUACAGUAGCCUGCCAUGACUGACUUCAUGUCCUUCAACCCAGGUCAUUGUAAAACUAAGAAACUGCUCAUAAGUUCUAAUGUGUAUGUGACAGCCUUGAAACAAAACAAAAUACUAAAUGAGAGCUAAAAUGAAUUUAUUAGUUUAACUAUAACUAUCUAAUGAUAUAAUAAUGCCAAUUGAUUUUGAAGCAACCACAAUGGUUUCGAAGCAAUAAAGACGAUGGCUAUAUAGAAAAUAUAUUUCCUUGUAUUAAACAGAUUACACAAAGUCUCUAUUUAAACUGAUACAGGAUAUCUACUUAAGGUAGGAAAUAAUAUAGACAUGAAUACAAUCCGAUUUACAGCAAGAAAGGCUAAUUGCUAGGAGGAGAUUGUGAAGUUGACUUCCGUGUGUGCUAGGAAAGGAAAAGGAAAGCUGCGUUAAUACCACACCAACACCCACCCCCCCCCCCCCCCCCCCCCCCCUCCCCCGGCGGGGAGCAAACUGGGCGUCACAGGAUGCACAAGUUUUGAAGACAUAUGUUGAUGGCGUGGUUUGUGAAGGGCUUUGGUAAAUAGGUCCGCAGGUUGGUUGACAGAAGGAACAAAGGCAAACUUGAUGACUUCCAAGAGCAACUUUUUCACGAACAAAGUGAUAGUCCAACUUAAUGUGACGUGUACGGGUAUUGAAAACUAGAUUGGCAGCCAUGUAUGUCAUGCUGAGAUUGUCUCAAAAGAGUUGGACCGAGAACUAAAGAUGCACACCCAAUUCAUGAAGAAAGAAGUAGAGCCAAGUGGUUUCGGCACAAGCAUGAGAGAGGGCACGAUAUUCCGAUUCUGUACUAGAGCGCGAGACUGUGGGCUGUUUCUUGGAACACCAUGAGAUGAGGUUAGUUCCAAGAGUAAUCACAAAUCCAGUAGUUGACCGACGAGAAUCAGGGCACCCAGCCCAGUCCACAUCAGAGUAGGCAGAGAGGCGAGCUGCCGUAGUUUGAGGAGUGAAAAGGUGAGGCUGAGAUCAAUAGUGCCCUUGAUGUACCUAAGUGUAAACUAUCUCGGUUGGGUUGGAGAUGAGAGCACCAUCAAAGAUAGAGAGGAGAAUCUUGGCUGCCAAUGGAGUAGAUACGGGUUUGGAGUUGAGAGGAUUGGCUUUCUGUAAAAGAUCAUGUGCAUAUUUGAGUUGAUUGAUGUGGAGAGUACCAUCCUUAUGAAGAACCUGUAAACCCAAGAAAUAGCUUAGCGGACCAAGGUCUUUAAUGUCAAAGUGGCCACAUAAAAGAGAGAUGAAUUGUUGGAGAUGAGUGGAAUCAUUGCCAGUUACCAUGAUGUCAUCGACAUAUAGAAGAAGAAAGAAGGUAUGAAAGGCUUGUUGAAAAAUAAAUAAUGAACUAUAAGCUUGGCUCCUUGUAAAGCCUAUAGAGAGAAGGAAAGUACUGAUGCAAUGGAACCAAGUACGAGGUUCUUGUUUGAGGCCAUAGAGUGCUUUGCGGAGCUUGCAAACAUAAGAAGGACAAGUGGGAUCAAUGAAACUAGGGGGUCGAGCCAUGUAGACAUCUUCUUGAAGAAACCCAUGGAGAAAGGCAUUUUUGGCAUCAAGUUGACAAAGGGACCAACCACGAGAAACUGCAAGAUUGAGAAUAGUGAGAAUGGUGGCAGGCUUGACAACAGGACUGAGGGUCUCAGCAUAGUCUAUGCCCGGACAUUGAUGAAAACCCUUGGCAACUAGACGAGCUUUAUGGCUUUCAAUAGAGCUGUUAGAGUGAUGCUUAAUCCAAAAAACCCACUUGCACCCAACCAAGUUCUGAGAAGGAGAGGAAGGAACCAAAGACCAGGUAUGAUUUUUGAGAAGUGCAUUGAUCUCUUCAAUCAUGGCAUCACGCCAUUCAGGAUGCUUAGUGGCCUGUGAAAAAUAAGUAGGUUCAAUAUGAUCAACAAUAGUUAAUAAGGCAUGGGGAAGGGGGUAUUUAAUAGUGCCGUCGGUAUGAAGCUUGGGCUUUUGAAUGCCAUCUUGAAGGUGGGUGUACAUGUGAGGAACAUGGGCAGAAGUGGGAGAUUGCGGAGCUACUAAAACUUGGGGGUUAGGAGCUGCUGAAAAUGCGAGGUUCAAAGCUACUGGAACUAGGGGUUCGGAGUUGUUGGAACGGGGGCAGGCGCAAGCGGAGAGAGGUGUAUGCGAGGGCGUCCAGAAUAAGUUUGGAGUAAUGGCUGGGCUAACGCCGAAGAAGUGUCGUGGAGUGGACUAGAGGGUGCGGCAUGGCCAGGGUCAUGGCUUUUGACAGUAGCCGCUAGAAAGGUGUGCACUAGGGAGGUGUCGUGAGUUUGCGAGUUUGGGUCUAUGACAGGAGUGAUCAAUUCGGGCCAGGUGCGAAGGAGGGCAGAAUUGGGUGGAAUUUAAUAUCCACAUACUCUAAAGAAGAUGAUACCUGUAAAUGUUCAAAUGGAAAAUGCAUUUGGUUAAAUAAAACAUGACGGGACGUGUAAACACGACCCUUGGAAGGAUGUAAAGAAUGGUAACCUUUGUGGUGAGAACUGUAUCCAAGGAAAACACAUUCAAGAGUGCGGUUGGUGAGUUUAUUUUCAGUGUAUGGUCUAAGAUAAGAGAAACAAGAACACCCAAACACUUGGAGAUGAGAGUAGGAGGGAGGAUGUUGGAAGAAACGAGUGUAUGAGGUGUCCUAUUGAAGAUUAGGAGUAAGCAGGAAGUUGAUGAGAUGGACAGUAGUGAGGGCAGCUUCAACCCAGAGAUUGUAGGGAGUGUGAGAAGUGGUAAGGAGGGAACGGAUCAUGGUGGCAAUGUGUCUGUGUUUACGUUCAACUAGGCCAUUUUGUUGGGAGUAUGGGGACAUGAGAAACAUUGGUGGAUGCCUAGUUGACUGCAAAGAUCAGAGGAAGCAUUAUUAACAUAUUCAAUGCCAUUGUCACUUUGAAGGAUUUGCAUAGUGGUGUGAAAUUGAUUUUCAACCAUGACAAGAAAUGUUUGAAAGUGAGAAAAUACCUCUUUUUUACGGUGCAUAGGAUAGAUCUUGGGGUAACGGGAAAAGUCAUCUGUAAACAAGACAUAAUAAAGAUAACCAGUGACAGAAAUGACCGGCGACAUCCAUACAUCAGAGCGAAUUAAAUAGAAGGGAGAUAGGGCAAAAGUUUUAUUACUAAUAAAGGAUAGUUUGGUGGAUUUUCUAAGUGCACAAUCCAUACAGAAAGCAUGAGCGACUUUAAAGCCUAGAGAUGACACUAAGUGAGAGAGCACAGGAUGGGAUGGAUGGCCAAGGCUACAAUGCCAAGCAGGAGAGUGCACGGUUGUAAGGGCACUGAGGACGGUGAAUGAGUGAGAGGAGAGGGAAAGUGGGUAAAGACUAUCUUUCAAAGGGCCCUGAAAGAGUAACGAACCAUUACGUAAGUCAUAAAUUUGAUAAAAGUCAGGAGUAAAGACAAAGAAAACUAAAUUAUCACGAGUAAAACGGGCAACAUAAAGAAGAAUGCAAACUGAUUUUUAAGCAACCACAACGGUUUUGAAGCAAUAAAGACGACGGAAAUUUCCCCUCGUCAUUUUGUAUUUUUGUAGUAGUGAUCCAGUAGAAGUGGAAAGGAAUUGCUGUAAAGUCAGAGCCCUGCAUCAUUUUAUGCGGUGUGAGAAGCAUGUAAUGUAUGUAUUAACAUUGGCUGAUGAAGUGGGUUAAUUUGCACCUUCUCUAAGUCUACAGACAACAAGUCCUCUAACCAAGCUUAGAACUUCAUAAACGAGAAAAUCGAUUUAGAAGUAAACCCCCACAAAAAAUAAUUCAGAGAAUGAAAAAAGAAAGAAAUUGAAACUCUCCAUAUGCAGACUUUUCCUUUUGUGUUAGACUUCUGUACGCAGAUCUUUCCCCCUUUGUUGUUUCUGUUCCUGUCCCUGUUCCUUGACUGUUCUGUUCUUUUAAUUCCGUCACAUCAGUUGUGAACUUGGCCUCCACUUGUGCAAAUGGUUGAAAUUGAAACUUCAAUGAAUCAAAGAGAGAACUGGGUCUCGGUUGACUUGAGAAACAAAGCUAAAGUCUUCUUACGUUGAGUUUCAAAGGGAAAAUGGGCAGAGGCAAGCUUGCGUGGUGUGUUGGUUAAAAGAGCCAACAGAGAUUGCAUAUAUGCAUAUAGCUGAGAUUUGUGGGACACCAUUAUAGGGCUCAUUAUGGAUUACAUUUUAAUUAUUUAAACCGUUAGUUUUUAGAUAUUCUCUCAAAAAUUAUCUCUACAAAAAAAAUCACUGGAAUCUGAAACUAUUUGUUUAGUGGCGGAUCCAAACUUUCGUUCAUCUUGGGGCUUAAAAAAAAUCCAACCAAUAUAUGGCCAAACAAAAAAUAUUUGGGCUUAAAGUGAACUUGGUGGCUGAGUUCUCCACAAAAUUAUAGAAUGAGUGAACUUGGUGGGAUCUCUAUUCUUCUUUUAUAACAUAGGGUUUUUCUUUUUUAAUAUACGCUUUGGGCUUGUAUAUAUUGGAUGGGCCAUGUGGGGGCUCCACCUAAGAAGAACCUAAAAAAAUUUAAAAAAUGUGAGUUUGGGUGGGAUUAUAUGGCUGCAACUUUUUUGCAAGCCAAUGUAUUUGAUCACUUAAUUAGAUGCCUUAAUGAUUUUCAAUUUGCGUGAUUUGUUGCAAGGAUGAUAAUCUAUAAAUGUAGACUUGAAAAAUAAACAGCUUGGAUAUUUGAAAAUAAAUUCGUAAAUGGGCUAUAUAUACACAAAAAUUCUCCUAUGUAGACAUCCGAACGUUAUAAUGGUCCGGAUGCCAUGUAUUUUCUAUUAUCUCUCCUUGUUUUCCUGCCUGUUUACAAUAGCAUCUGCACGAUAAUAACGUGCGGACAUCUGGAUAAAAGAAUAACUAAAUAUAUUAGGCAAAAAGUCACUUUUGGUUCCUGAAGUUUACCACUUUUACUACUGGUCAUUGUCGUUUUAAUUUCGUCACUUUUGUCCAUGUAGUUUUCAAUUUGAGCAAUUUAAGGAUAAUCCUCACUUUCUGUUAAAUUUUUUAACUUCCGUUAUAUGUGGAGGGGCAAUUCGGUCCACAAAUUAUUAAAAAUUCAUUCCUUCUAAAAAAUUAGUUUUAAUAUUAAACAAAAAAAUAAUUUAAUUCCCCAUCCCUUAUCGGUUGAAACCCAAGCCCAUUGAAAAGCAAAGGUUUUUUGAACCUAUGGUUCUAAGUAGGGGUGGGCAUCGGGAUUGGAAAAUCGGAACACCGAACCAUACCGGAUGGAAAAAAUCGAAAGAAAAACUAGUUAAUUAAAAAAGUCAACAAGCCAGCAUCAAACCAGACCAGACCAAUUCGAAUCGAUUCCAAUUUCAAUUUGACACCGCACCAAACGGAACCGAAUAUGACCGUACCAGUUGUGUAUAAUUUUUUUUUUAACAAAAUUAUUUAACUCUAAUGCUACAUUUUUAAUCUCAUAACUAAUAUUUCCCCAAGCCCAACUUCAAAACAUCUAUCUUUUUUAGGCCCAAUAUCUCUUUUUUUGUAUGAAAUUGGAUCAUUUGUUAAUUUUCAAGCCCAAAAAAUAAAAUUUUAUUUUGAAUUUGUAUAAAUAAAUAAAAAAGAGUUAAAAAAAAUUAAUAAUAAUAAUUCGAUCCAAAACCCGAAAAAACAAAAACCGAACAAGAACCGGUUCAAACUAGACCGCCGUUUCAACAAAAAAUUUCACUAAAACCAAACCGAACUUGACCGGUUAAAUAGUACUGGUUCCGAUUUCAAUUUGAGGUGAACACCUUACCCAAUCGGACCACACCCAACCCUAGUUAUAAGCCUUGAAGGCAUCGUGCCAAGAGAAGCAUAUGUGCUAGGCCGCAAUGUCUUCCCAAUCCUCUUCACUUACCACUUUCCCUCUCCUGAAAUCCCUUAUUCUUCUUUUCUCAUCCAAAAUCUCUCUCCCCCAAUUGAAUUUGGCAUUCCCUUUCAGAAGUAAACCCCCACAGAAAAUAAUUCAGAGAAUGAAAAAAGAAAGAAAUUGAAACUCUCCAUAUGCAGACUUUUCCUUUUGUGUUAGACUUCAGUACGCAGAUCUUUCCUCGUUUGUUGUUUCUGUUCCUGUCCCUAUUCCUUGACUGUUCUGUUCUUCUAAUUCCAUCACAUCAGUUGUGAACUUGCGACACUAGCUUCCCCAUGAUCUGCGUUAAACGAAUACCCAAAAGGCUAUUAAAACGUGGCCUCCACUUGUACAAAUGGUUGAAAUUGAAACUUCAAAUGAAUCAAAGAGAGAACUGGGGUUCGGUUGACUUGAGAAACAAAGCUAAAGUCUUCUUGUGUUGAUUAAAAAAGUCAACAAACCAGCAUCGAACUAGACCGGACCAAUUCUAAUAGAUUCCAAUUUCAGUUUCACACCGCACUAAACUGAACCGAAUUGGACUUGACCAGUUGUUUAUAAUUUUUUUUAAUAACAAAAUUAUUUAACUAUAAUGCUACAUUUUUAAUCUCAUAACUAAUAUUUCCCUAAGCCCAACUUCAAAACAUCUCUCUUUUUUGGCCCAAUAUCUCUCUUUGUAUGAAAUUGGAUCAUUUGUUAAUUUUCAAGCCCAAAAAAUAAAAUUUUAGUUUGAUUUGUAUAAAAAAAAGUUAAAAAAAUUAAUAAUAAUAAUUCGAUCCAAAACUCGAAAAAACAUAAACCAAACAAGAACCGAUUCAAACUGGACCGCUGGUUUCAAAAAAAAAAUUCACUAAAACCAAACCGAACUUGACCAGUUAAAUAGUACCCGUUCCAAUUUCUAUUUGAGGUGAACACCUUACCCAACCGGACCACACUCAACCCUAGUUAUAAGCCUUGAAGGCAUCGUGCCAGGAGAAGCUUAUGUGCUAGGCCGCAAUGUCUUCCCAAUCUUCUUCACUUAUCACUCUCCCUCUCCCGAAAUCCCUUAUUCUUCUUUUCUCAGCCAAAUCCCUCUCCCAAAAUCCCUUAUUCUUCUUUUCUCAGCCAAAUCUCUCUCCCUCAAUUCAAUUUGGCAUUCCUUUUCAGACUCAACCCCACCUCCUCCCAUCUUUGCACUUGAGACAACGUUUCUCAAUUACAGAUCCAAGAUCAGCUCCACUUCUUCUGGUACUUCAAUAUGAACUAUGAUCAAAACAUUGUCUUGAGAUGCUUUUGGAUUUGAAUAUAUUAUGCAAGUAAUUGAAUUGAGAGGUGUAAUCUGAUGGUGAUCAUGGUGUCACAUGCAGGUCACGUGAACAAACAAGCACAAGAGCAUGGGGUUUGGCCGUUUUGGGUGGCUAGGGUGGUGGUUGGGUUGGAGGGAGGUGGUGGCUGGCGGGGCUUGGGUGGGGCUGUUGGUAGGGGUUGGGUUGGGGUUGGGAGGAGAAGGAGAAAAAUUGAGGAUUGAAUUGCUCAAAUUGAAAACCACAAGGACAAAAAUGACCAAAUUGAAACAACAGGGACCAAAAUGAUAAAAGUGCCAAACUACAAGAAUCAAAAGUGUAUUUUUGCCUAUAUUUAAUACUUGAAAUACAAUUUCAUAAUUUUCAUCUUAGAUUAAAGUUCUUUUAUUUCGUUUGAUUUAGUGAGUGAAUUCAAUCCAAACUUAUAAAGACUCUUGUGUACUUUUUUUAAGUGGCUAACUUUCAUAGACUUUUUAGAGUUUUAAUGACCUUAAUCUCAAUGACAUACUUUCAUAGAAUUUUAUAGACUUUCAUAAAGUGUGUCAUACAAUUUAAUAGACUUUUGUUAUUCUUGAAUUUCAAUUCAUUACAAACCUUGAUAGUGUGUGCAGGAGCAAAUUUCCCCACGAGAAUAUUCGGUUCGGAAGAUUCCCCUUUCUUCUUCGCCGCCUCUUUCUCCUUGCAAAAUAGAACAAAUAAGAGGACCACACCCGGGGGGUGUUGGCCAAAGGCCCUCCAAUGCCUAAGUCAGUUCAAUCGAUCCGUAGGAAACGAUAGCUAAAGUAGGGUACGGGAUGUGUUUAUAAUAUAAAUUGGGCGGCCGGAGCCUUAUGUAAAAGAGAGAGAGAAAAGAGGUGGCUAGGGUUUGAGAGGAAUUUUCUGCAGAGUUUUAGUAGUAAUUCUCACGUACCUCAACCCUUGUGUGCGGCUAUGCUUUUAUAGUAGUCUCGGAGGCUAGGGUUUCAGAGGAAUAAUUCCGUAGAUGGAAGGGAAUUAUUCCUCCCCUUUUUGGAAUUAAUUUGAUUAAUUAGGAACUUGAUUAAUUAGGGUAAAUCAAAUCCCUAAUUAUGGUAGGCAUCAAAUCAAAUCCUAAUUCAAUUAGGUAACUCCUCAUUUAAUUGGGGAUCGUGGUAAUUAACCAAAUCAAUUCUCAACCUAAUUAGGUAACGUUCAAUUUAAUUGGGUAAUUCCCAAUUAAAUUGAGUAACUCCCAAUUAGGUUGAUUAAUUCCCAAUUGGGUCAAAUAAUCCCCAAAUGGUAGGAAUUAUUUGACUUAGGGUUUGAUUUAAUUAGGUUCCCACAGUGUGUAUGGGAGAGAACCCCCUUCCCUUUCCUUAAAGGAUCGGAUUUGAACUAGGAGUGGCAAUUUCUGUUGUGAAGGCUGCUGCAGUGAAUUGCAGAGCAAAAUAUGUAAGAGUAGCAGCACUUGUGAAAUAGUAAACAUAGGAGGACUUGUUGCUGUUAACAGCUCCCCAGAACAGAAGGCAAGCUGCAAUUAUUGAGAAAGUCAUGGCAAUGGUGUCUGCGAUGAUGAACAGUUUGAGAUAUUUGCUUGAUUCCAGAAGAGCCACCCCUUUGUCUGGACCAAUAUUGUUGUUGUAGCCUCCAGGCAUUGUGAAGGCCGCUGUAAACGUCACAGUUGUGAUAAGUGUUGCAACCAUUAAAAGGGUCUGCCCCAUUUGUUUGUAAGUUUGCACUGCAUUGGCUUCUUCUUGGUCUGCUCUUGAGAGAAUCUUGAUGCUGUCCAACCAAGAAGUCGGUGUCCGGAGAUGUCCCCAAAUGCUUGGGACUAUAUUCUGCAAAUAAAUUGAUUAAGAGAAACAAUGUCCAUAAGAUUCAAAGUUGUAGUUUGUUAAGCAUUAAUACCCCAAUUUGGGAGAUGGAUUAUGUAUUUAGUACUCACUUUGGGAGAUGCAAUUUCUUUGAUUGACCUAUCGAUGUCAAUUGCUGUUAGGCCAUAUUUGUUCUUGGAUCUUAGAUUCACUCUUCCGUCCCACUUCAAGUAACUCAGAAUCCAGGUUUUUCUUUCAAUGGUGGCUAGAUGCAAAGGCGUAUUUCCAUCAAAAUCAGGCUGGUUUAUGAGCCCCUCCAGCUCUUCUGUUUAUAGUAUAUACCUGACCUCAUUUGCGUGGCCACCAACAAUGGCCAUAUGAAGAGCAUUUCGUCCAUAAGGGUCAACAAGUUCUCCCGAAUCUGGGCGAUGUUGAACAAUCUCUCUAAUCACAUUGGUAUGACCUUUGCUGGCUGCAACAUGAAUUGGUGAGAAACCUCGUUGAUCCAAAACAUAUGCUAUCAAAAUGUCGAGUUCUAGUAAUAAAGAGGAGUCUUGCCUUGGUGGUCAGCUUCUUUGAUCAGCUGCUGUUUGAAUCGUAGGAGGGCUUCCAUGAUAUCUUACAAUCAGACAAAAAAUUUAGCUUCAACAUAAAAAAAAUAUAUAUAUAUAUAUAUAUAUAUAUAUUUGCAGAAGUGAGGAGAAAAAAUAUAAAUUAAAGAGGAACUAGCUAGACUCUUAAUUAUUUAUGCAAAUUCAACUGCCAGAGGUGUCUCUCUGUAGUGAAAGCCCAAUAUAGAAUUUGCAAGGAAAUUGAUAUAAUUGUAGUUGCUAAGGGCAACUGCAUAAUUAAACCAUAGCUCAACAUAUGUAUACCUGUGCUAAAGUAUGGGGUUGCUUUAUACAAGGCCUUGUUGUUGUAGUAAUUUUGGCAGCUGGAAAAUUCUAAAUUCAUACCAUCUGGACAACGAAGAUUUUAGUGCACUGACUUUUAAAUUCUUGUGGUCUAUUUGGUACAUGUGGUGGAAUUGAAUCUGCCUAAAGUUCAACUCGGUUGGCUAUUCGUCGAAAUUGGAACUUGACAAUAAAGCCUUCAAUAACUGUGUAAUUAUGACAGUCACGUCUGUUUCACACAGUAAUCUGCCGUGGCUGACUUCAAGUCCUUCAACGGAGGUCAUUGAAAAACUAAUAAAUUUUGGAUUCUCUUGAACUGCUGUGAAGCAUUGCCUGAUGAGGUGGGUAAAUUUGCACCUUCUUCCAAGUCUUUCUAUCUAUUGACUGAAAAGAAAAUAACCAUGGAAUUUUAUGAAAAAAUGAAAGAAUUUCAAACUCUCCCUGAAGAUGCAGACUUUUUAGUCCUUGGUUUCAGACUUCUGUUCCUUUUUGACUGUUUCGUUUUUUAUUUUGGUUUUUUUCUCUUCUUAUCGACUGUUGUUUCUGUUGCUGUGAACUACACUUGCUUCUCCAUGAUUUGGGUCAUAGACUCUUUAACGUGUACUCUACUUCAUUCGUGGCUCCACUCCAAAACCAAUUGGUAAUGGGAGUAGCGAAACUCUUUAUAAACCCAUACUAGUAACUUUCCAAUGUGAGACUUUUUCACUUUCACAUCUCACACUCCCCCACACGUGUGGCGAAUGUUCAAGUCUAACACAUAAAUAACACACAUUGGGUGAUGUAGAACACUUAAUAAGUAACAUUAAGUGUCAAUGGUUGAAACUUCAAAUGAAUCAAAGAAGUGGGGUGGGCUCGGUUGACUCAAGAAACAAAGGGGAAGUCUUUUUACGUUUCUAUAAGUUCCCAAGGACAAAUGCACCCAUGCACCUGAGGUACUAUGUUCGUUAUGUUUUUUUUUUUUCUUCCAAAGUUAGGAAAAGGGGGGGAGGGGGCGGCCGCACGAGUACCAUUAGUUUGGGCCAAUCCAACUGAGAGCGCACCAAAGGCUUAGGCCAAUCCAACUAACACCCGAUUAGUACUUGAGGUACCAUGUUCAAGUGCAUUAUCGUGGCCACAACUACUACUAUUGCUUCUUGGACUCUCAUGUAUGAGAUGACUCAUUGCUAUAGCUUACAUGCAUUGCAUAAGUUGGCAGAUCUUAUCUCAACCUUGGCAUCAGUAAUAUUGAAAUACAAAACUUUAUACAUCAAAAGUGUAUAAUAUUGUGACAAAUUGUAAUCUGUAAACUUUUAAACAUCAAACUUGUUCAUUAGAUAUGUGAUAGAUGCGCUGAAGGGGUAAAAGGAGUUGAACUAUAAAGUAGUGCAAAAUGCACUUAUUCUUCAUGGUUUGUUCUUGAUUUUGCACUUGAGCUUACAAAGAUGAGAAAUGAAGAAUCUGCAGGCUUCAGGUAGGGAAAACAUUUUCACCAACUGGGAAAGAGCCAAGAAGGUAAUAACAUGAAAAGCCGCUCCGACUAGGGUUCCCAAGGUUUUGAGACAUUGCUGAUCAGGCAUGGCAGCCUUAAUCCCUGUUUCGAAUGCUAUUGCGGUGGAUUGCAGAGCAAUAUAUGUAAGAGCAGCAGCACUUGUGAAAUAGUAAACAUAGGAGGACUUGUUGCUGUUGACAGCUCCCCAAAACAGAAGGCAAGCAGCAAUUAUUGAGCAAGUCAUGGCAACAGUGUCUGUGAUGAUGAACCACUUGAAAUCAUUAUUUGACUGCAGAAGAGCCUGCCCUCGGUCUGGGCCUACAUCAUUGUUAUACCCCCCAGGCAUUGUGAAGGCAGCUGCAAAUGUUACAGUUGUGAUAAGUGUUGCAACCAUCAACAGGGUCUGCCCCAUUUGCAUGUAAGUUUGCACUGCAUUGGCUUCUUCUUGUUCUGCUCUUGGGGAUAUCUUGAUGUUGCCCAACCAUGAAUGUUGGGUACCGAGAUGUCCCCAAAUGCUUGGAGUUAUGUUCUGCAAUUCCUAUUAGAUGAACAGUUGUAGUUUGCUAAGCAUUAUGACCAAUUAUAUACAAGGAAUAUUAAUUGUGUUAUUAGCACUCACCCUGGGAGAUGUAAUACUAGAUUCUUUGAUUGACCUAUCAAUCUCAAUUGCUGUUUGGCCAAAUUUGUUCUUGGAUCUUAAAUUUACUCUUCCAUCCCACCUCAAGUAUCUCAGAAUCCAAGUUUUUCUUUCAAUGGUGGCUAGAUGCAAAGGCGUAUUUCCAUCAAAAUCAGGCUGGUUUAUGGUCCCCUCCAGCUCUGCUGUUUCUAGUAUAUAUCUGACAACGUUUGCUUGCCCAUUGAAGAUUGCAAUAUGAAGGGCAUUCCAUCCGUAAGGAUCAACAAGUUCUCCCGAAUCUGGGCAAUGUCGAACAAUCUCUCUAAUCACACUGGUAUGACCUUUGCUGGCUGCAACAUGAAUUGGUGAGAAACCCUGUUUAUCCAAAACAUAUGCUAUCGAAAUGUCGAGUACUAGUAAUCGUUCUACUGUUCUAUGGUCUCCAAGGGAUGCUGCAUAGUAAAGAGGAGUCUUUCCUUGGUGGUCAGCUUCUUUGAUUAGCUGCUGUUUGAAUCUUAGGAGCGCUUCCAUGAUAUCUUACAAGACAAAAGUUUAGUUUAAAUAUUGAUUAAAAAAAUUGCACAAGUCAGGAAAAAAUAUAAAUUAAAGAGGAACUAGCUAGAAUCUUUUUUUUUUUAGAAGAGCAACAUCUGUAUGGAAUGGAUACUACUAUAUUAUUUAUGCAAAUUCAACUAUCUGUAGUGUAACCCCCAUAAAGAAUUUGCAAGGAAAUUGAUAUAAUAGUAGUUGCCGAGCGCAAGUGCAUAUUUAAACCAUAGCUCAAACAUACAUAGCUGGGGAAAAGUGUGACAUACCAAAAUGCUUCUCAACCACAGCAGCAUGCAGGGCUGUUUGGCCAUCUGAACCGCCAUGAGCUGAUGAAGGACUUGACUGUAAAAUUUGAUUCAGAAUAUCUAACAAUCCCUCUCUUGCAGCCAGGUACAAUGGAGACUCACCCGCCUCAUUUUCAAAAGAAGCCAAUUUGGGGUCAAUCUUAAGUAAAAAUUCAGCCACCUUGUUGUGACCUUCCUCACAGCUUCGUGUAAAACCAUGUUGUUCCCCCUAUUUCUGACUCUCAAAGUCUCAAGCAUCUUGCUGCUCACGUUCCCAAACUCUACUUGUGACAUGGACAAGGUUUCUCUGACCAGAUAAUUGACAAUCGAGAAGCGGCCAACCCUUGCAGCCACUGUAAAGGGGUAUCUCCAUCUAAAUUUGGCUGUGUGAGAAGGGACCUGCACCUGCUAUAAAUCUCAGCUGUAACAUUUUUGUGUCCAAAUUGCACGGCGAUAUGGAGGGCAGUGUUUUCUCGGGGCGUAAGUUGAUAUAGUAGCAUGGGAUCAUCGUUAAGAAGUUGUUUAAAGAAGCAAACAUCCCCUGAUUCUACAGAUUUGUAGAGCCUUGGAUCCAUGGCAUUUUUGGAACUAGGCAGGCAUUACAUAAUUGUUGGGGUUGCUUUAUAUAUGGCCUUGUUAUUGUAGGUAGCAAGUGUGGAAAUUUUGACAGAGCAUUUACCUUGGCACUUGGAAACAAAAAAAAUUAAAAAAUCCAAAUUCAUCUAAAUCGGAACAACCAAGAUUUUUGUGCACUGACCUCUAAAUUGUUGUGGACUAUUUUUGUGGACUAUUUUUGUUCAUGUGUAGGAAUUGAAUCUGCCUCAAGUUCAACUCAGUUGAGUUUAUUUUUAGACUACACCAGAAGCCUCCAAGUUGACUAUGGAUAUAGACUACACCAGAAGUCUAAGACUGAACAUUACAACCCCAUUUUUCGAAAUUGUAAUUAAGUUGACAAUCAUGUCUGCUUCGUACCGUAGCCUGCCAUGACUGACUUCAAGUCCUUCAACCCAGGUCAUCGUAAAACCAAGAAACUGCUCAUAAGUUCUAAUGUGUAUGUGACAGCCUUGAAACAAAACAAAAUACUAAAUGAGCUAAAAUGAAUUUAUUAGUUUAGCUAUAACUAUCUAAUGAUAUAAUAAUGCCAAUUGAUUUUGAAGCAACCACAAUGGUUUCGAAGCAAUAAAGACAAUGGUUAUGUAGAAAAUAUAUUUCCUUGUAUUAAACAGAUUACACAAAGUCUCUAUUUAAACUGAUACAGGAUAUAUAUCUACGUAAGGUAGGAAAUAAUAUAGACAUGAAUACAAUCCGAUUUACAGGGCUAAUUGCUAGGAGGAGAUUGUGAAGUUGACUUCCAUGUGGGCUAGGAAAGGACAAGGAAAGCUACGUUAAUACCACACCACCACCACCCCACAAACACACCCCNNNNNNNNNNNNNNNNNNNNNNNNNNNNNNNNNNNNNNNNNNNNNNNNNNNNNNNNNNNNNNNNNNNNNNNNNNNNNNNNNNNNNNNNNNNNNNNNNNNNCAGUGUGUGCUUGGACGAACAUCUGUGGGUCAGUGUCUUCUCUACCUGGAUUGUUGAGUCUAGUAAAUAGCCUCAUCUAAUACAACAUCUAAUACGUGCCAGAACGAGAUAGCACUUGUAUGCUUUUUACUCCUAUGCUAGAGUGUUAUUAAUAACUACUACACAGUCGACAACUAACAGUCUUCACUAAAACGAAGACCCACUGUGUUUAUCGUCAUUAAAACCAUCUGUUGCUCGCCAUAAAUCUGUAAAAAAUAUAAUUUUCUUCGUAAAUCACCAUCUAAAACGGGAUAGUAUGUUUUAACACUGUCUGUUUCCCCGUACGCCCUCUAGGUCGUCUUCCACUUGGGGGCCCAAGGAGCGGGGGAUUAGUAUUGUUUAUAAUACCCCCCCCCCCCCCCAAAAACCCCCCCCCCCCCCCCCCCCCCCCCCCCCCCCCCCCCCGGGGCUCAAACUGGGCGUCACAGGAUGCACAAGUUUGGAAGACAUAUGCUGAUGGCAUGAUUUAUGAAUGGCUUUGGUAAACAGGUCCGCAGGUUGGUCAACAGAAGGAACAAAGCAAACUUGAUGACUUCCAAGAGCAAGAUUUUCAAGAACAAAGUGAUAGUCCAACUCAUUGUGACGUGUGCGGGUAUUGAAAACUAGAUUGGGCCAUGUAUGUCGUGCUGAGAUUGUCACAGAGUUGGAUCGAGAACUAAAGACGCACACCCAAUUCAUGAAGAAGGGAGUAGAGCCAAGUGGUUUCGGCACAAGCAUGAAAAAGGGCACGAUAUUCCGAUUCUGUACUAGAGGGCGAAACUGUGGGCUGUUUCUUGGAACACCAUGAGAUGAGGUUAGUUCCAAGAGUAAUCACAUAUCCAGUGGUCGACCGACGAGAAUCAGGGCACCCAGCCCAGUCCCCAUCAGAGUAGGCGGAGAGAAGAGUUGCGGUAGUUUGAGGAGUGAAGGUGAGGCCGAGCUCAAUAGUGCCCUUGAUGUACCUAAGUGUAAACUAUCUCGGUUGGGUUGGAGAUGAGAGCACCAUCAAAGAUAGAGAGGAGAACCUUGGUAGCCAAUGGAGUAGAUGCGGGUUUGGAGUUGAGAAGAUUGGCUUUCUGUAAAAGAUCAUGUGCAUAUUUGAGUUCAUUGAUGUAGAGAGUACCAUCCUUAUGAAGAACCUGUAAACCCAAGAAAUAGCUUAGCGGACCAAGGUCUUUGACGUCAAAGUGGCCACAUAAAAGAUAGAUGAAUUGUUGGAGAUGAGUGGAAUCACUGCCAGUUACCACGAUGUCAUCGACAUAUAGAAGAAGAAAAAAGGUAUGAAAGGCCUGUUGAAAAAUAAAUAAUGAACUAUCAGCUUGGCUCCUUGUAAAGCCUAUAGAGAGAAGGAAAGUACUGAUGCAAUGAAACCAAGUACGAGGUGCUUGUUUAAGGCCAUAGAGUGCUUUGUGGAGCUUGCAAACAUAAGAUGGACAAGUGGGAUCAAUGAAACCAGGGGGUUAAGCCAUGUAGACAUCUUCUUGAAGAAACCCAUGGAAAAAUGCAUUUUUAACAUCAAGUUGACGAAGGGACCAACCACGAGAAACUGCAAGAUUGAGAACAGUGCGAAUGGUGGCAGGCUUGACAAUAGGACUAAAGGUUUCAGCAUAGUCUAUGCCCGAACAUUGAUGAAAACCCUUGGCAACUAGACGAGCUUUAUGGCUUUCAAUGGAGCCGUUAAAGUGACGCUUAAUCCAAAAAACCCACUUGCACCCAACCAAGUUUUGAGAAGGAGAGGAAGGAACCAAAGACCAUGUAUGAUUUUUGAGAAGUGCAUUGAUCUCUUCAGUCAUGGCGUCACGCCAUUCAGGAUGCUUAGUGGCCUGUGAAAAACAAGUAGGUUCAAUAUAAUCAACAAUAGUUAAUAAGGCAUGGGGAAUGGGGUAUUUAACAGUGUCGUCGGUAUGAAGCUUGGGCUUUUGAAUGCCAUCUUGAAGGCGGGUGUGCAUGUGAGGAACAUGUGCAGGAGUGGGAGAUUGCGGAGCUACUGGAACUUGGGGGUUAGGAGUUGCUGAGGGGUUCGGAGCUACUGGAACUGAGGGUUCUGAGUUGCUGGAACAGGGGCAGGCGCAAGCGGAGAGAGGUGUAUGUGAGGGCGUCUGGAAUAAGUUUGGAGUAAUGGCCGGGCUAACGCGGAAAAAGUGUCGUGGAGUGGACUAGAGGGUGCGGCAGGGCCGAGUCAUGGCUUGUGACUAUAGAAGCUGGAAAAGUGUGCACUAGGGAGGUGUCAUGAGUUUGCAAGUUUGGGUCUGUGACAGGAGUUAUCAAUCUAAGCCAGGUGCGAAGGAGGGCAGAAUUGGGUGGAAUUUAAUAUCCACAUACUCUAAAGAAGAUGAUAUCUGUAAAUGCUCAAAUGGAAAAUGCAUUUGGUUAAAUAAAACAUGACGGGACUUGUAAACACGACCCUUGAAAGGAUGUAAACAACGGUAACCUUUGUGGUGAGAAUUGUAUCCAAGGAAAACACAUUCAAAGGUGCAGUUGGUGAGUUUAUUUUCAAUAUAUGGUCCAAGGUAAGAGAAACAAGAACACCCAAACACUCGAAGAUGAGAGUAGGAGGGAGGAUGUUGGAAGAGACGAGUGUAUGAGGUGUCCUAUUGAAGAUUAGGAGUAGGCAUGAAGUUGAUGAGAUAGACAGUAGUGAGGGCAGCUUCAACCCAAAGAUUGUGAGGAGUGUGAGAAGUGGUAAGGAGGGAACGAAUUAUGGUGGCAAUGUGUCUGUGUUUACGUUCAGCUACGCCAUUUCAUUGGGAGUGUGGGGACAUAAGAAAAAUUGGUGGAUGCCUAGUUGACUGCAAAGAUCAGAGGAAGCAUUAUUAACAUAUUCAAUGCCAUUGUUACUUUGAAAGAUUUGCACAGUGGUGUGAAAUUGAUUUUUAACCAUGAAAAGAAAGGUUUGAAAAUGAGAAAAUACCUCAUUUUUACGGUGCAUAGGAUAGAUCUAGGAGUAACGGGAAAAGUCAUAUGUAAACAAGACAUAAUAACGAUAACCAGUGCAGAAAUGACCGGGGACAUCCAUACAUCAGAGCGAAUUAAAUAGAAGGGAAAUGGGGCAAAAGUUUUAUUACUAAUAAAGGAUAGUUUGGUGGAUUUUCUAAGUGCACAAUCCUUACAUAAAGCAUGAGAGACUUUAAAGCCUAGAAAUGGCGUUAAGUGAGAGAGCACAUGAUGGGAUGAAUGGCCAAGGCGACAAUGCCAAGCAGGAGAGUGCACGGUGGUAAGGGCACGGGGGACGGUGGAUGAGUGAGAGGAGAGGGAAAGUGGGUAAAGACUAUCUUUCGAAGGGCCCUGAAAGAGUAACGAACCAUUACGUAAGUAAUAGAUUUGAUAAAAGUCAGGAGUAAGGACAAAAAAAACUAAAUCAUCACGAGUAAAACGGGCAACAUAAAGAAGAUUAGUACGAAGAGAGGGAAGACAAAAUACAUUUUGAAGAAAAAAUUUGUGAGAACCUAAAGGAAAAGGAAGAGAAACAGUAUGAGAAAUAGAGAGAGAAUCUCUAUUACCAAGAAAUACAUAAUUAUUACCCUGAUAUGGCUGUUGAUUUUGGAGAUUAGAAGGACUACCAAUCAUGUGAUGAGUGGCACUUGUGUUAGGAUACCAAGUGAAGUCAAGUGGCUGCAUGAAUUGAGCCCCAGCAAAGGAAGGAAAAGAUUCUGGGCCAUUACAGCGAUAUGGACAUGUUGUAGUAGUAUAUUGAUUGGUAUUGCAGGUGGUGCACCAAGCGGGUCCUAAGACACUAGGAGUUGAGUUGGGCCAGGCAGAGUGUUUGCUAGAAGCAGCAGAUUUGGCACAAUGGAGCUAAAAGGAAGGCCAAUUGCUUUGAGGUCCAAAACUUGGAGCAAAAUGAGGCCAAAGUUGAUUAGGGCAUUGGAGCUGCUGUGAGCCAUUUCACGGGUUGCUCCAGAAAGGUGAGAAUUUGCUCUAGCCACCACAGCCGCGACUGUGCCAGCCACUGCGGCCACCACGCCUGUUGCUGGAGAAGCCACCACCACGGUAAGAAUUUAAGGAAGUAUGACCGGUGGUGUGAGGAGAAGAUUGGGUGGCCAUUAGCACUGUGUUUGAUAAGGAGCGAUUCGAUGAGCCUAUGCGUCGAAAGCUAACAAACGAGCACGAAGAUCAGCAAAGUCAGGAAGCAGAGGAAUAUCGAGAAUUGCAGUGACGAGCAUGUUGUAAUCAGGUCCUAAACCCAGAGCACAGCAGUGACAAGUUUUUUUGGGGAGACAGGUUCAUUUAUAGCAACCAGUGAAUCGGCAAGGGACUUAGUAUGACGAAGGUAAGUAUCAAUGGGUUGAGAGCCUUUUUGCAUAUCCAUGAGUUGAAAACGAAGAGCAGAUUCACUGGCUAUACUGGAUUAAGAGAAGUGGCGUUGGAGACACUCCUAGAGAUCCCGUGGAAAGGUGCAGCCGACGGUAAGAGAGAGAAUUGACUCAGAGAGUGUACUGGUGAUGUAGCUAACAAUGAGUAGGUCUUGUUGGUACCACUGAGUAUGGGCGGAAUUAGUUUGGGUAAGAGUGGCGGUGGUGGUUGUGGGUGUUGUGGUGGUAAAAGUGGAGGUUUGGGUAGAAGGUUGUUCAUGAGUGCCAUCGAUAAAUUUCCAUAUAGGUCAUGCAUGACUGACUAAAAAAGGUUUGAGUUGGCGGAGCCAAAAGAGAUAGUUGGAGUCAGUAAGCUUGAUAAAAUGAGAAGAGUUGGGGCUAGGGAGGGAGACGGUGGAUUCAAACGAAGCCAUGAGGUGGACCUAAAGGAGAGGAUUGGAUCGAAUAAGGGAGAGGGAGGAAACCCUAGGUUAGGCUGAUACCAUGUAGAAAAUAUAUUUCCUUGUAUUAAACAGAUUACACAAAGUCCCUAUUUAUACUGAUACAUGAUAUCUACUUAAGGUAGGAAAUAAUAUAGACAUGAAUACAAUCUGAUUUAUAGCAAGAAAUCCGAUUUACAGCAGGAAUGGCUAUUUGCUAAGAGGAGAUUGUGAAGUUAACUUCCGUGUGUGCUAGGAAAGGAAAGCAGCGUUAACAGGUUAUUUCACUUCGCAUUUUUCAAUAAAUUAUACCAUACAAAAAAAAACAAAAAAAACAAAAAAAAAAACCUAAAUCAAUAUACUAUACCUUACAAUAAAAUCAUAAAUUAGAAAAUCGUUUUACCAACAAAAAAAAAGGACAGAAUUUCAAACUCUCUCUAAAUAUGCAGACAUUUUAGUUCUUAGUUUUAGACUUCGGUAAGCAGAUUUUUCCUCCUUUGUUUACAUAAAUUGUUUGAUGUUCCUUUUUGAAUGUUUCAUUUUGGUUUUUCUUCUUCUUCUUCUUCUUGACGUUGUUUCUGUUGCUGUGAACUUACGACACUUGCUUCCCCAUGAUUUGUUUUAGACUCUUAACGUGGACUCUACUUCCUCCUUAACGUUGAAACUUCAAAUGAAUCAAAGAGAGAAAUGGGGCUCAGUUGACUUAAGAAACAAAAGGUGAAGUCUUCUUACGUUUCUAUAAGUUUCAAAGGACAAAUGCGCCAAUGCAUCCGAACUAAUACGAUUGCUUCUUGGACUAAUGCACUUGUUGUAAUAGUGUAGUUAAGUUUCAGUCAAAUAGGUCUUGAAACAUUUUGGACAGAAACUUGUUCGGUCUUUGGUUAUAUAUUCAUACUACUUUAUUUCGUAAGGCUUAGAUCUGAGUCAUUAAUCAACAUUGACUUCUCAUAUUUAGCAUACCAAGACAGUAUAGAAAGAGUGCUCAAAGAGAGAAAAAGUUUUCACCCAUAUCACAUUUCUGGAUUUUCUAGCUUGAGAUUGAUUUCACAGACAUUUUCUUCUUUGUUUAUUUGCUCUCUUUCUAUCUUGUGUGUGUGUGUGUUAGUUGAAUCAUAACACCAAGAUAUCUCAAAAUCCAACAAUUAGUCUACAAAAUUUCAUACAUCAAAAGUGUAUAAUAUUGAAUUGUAAUCUUUAAACCCCUAAACAUCAAACUUGUUCUAAUGUGACAGAUGUGCUGAAGGAGUGGUUGAAGUAUAUAGUAGUGCAGAAUGCACUUAUUCUUCAAGGUUUCUUCUUGAUUUUGCAUUUGAGCUUACAGAGAUGAAAAAUGAAGAAUCUGAAGGCUUCAGGUAGGGAAAACAUUUUCACCAACUGGGAAAGAAACAAAAGGGUAAUAACAUGAAAAGCGGCUCCUAUGAGGGUUCCCAAGGUUUCGACAAAUUGCUGAUGGGGCAUGACAGCCAAAAUCCCUGUUGUGAAGGAUGCUGCAGUGAAUUGCAGAGCAAAAUAUGUAAGAGCGGCAGCACUUGUGAAAUAGUAAACAUAGGAGGACUCGUUGCUGUUAACAGCUCCCCAGAACAGAAGGCAAGCUGCAAUUAUUGAGCAAGUCAUGGCAAUGCUGUCUGUGAUGAUGAACCACUUGAAAAAAUUAUUUGACUGCAGAAGAGCCUGCCCUUGGUCCGGGCCUACAUCAUUGUUGUAUCCUCCAGGCAUUGUGAAGGCUGCUGCAAAUGUCACAGUUGUGAUAAGUGUUGCAACCAUUAAAAGGGUCUGGCCCAUUUGCUUGUAAGUUUGCAUUGCAAUGGCUUCUUCUUGGUCUGCUCUUGAAAAAACCUUGAUGUUGUCCAACCAAGAAGGCGG
rnacentral:lncRNA from 1 species